rnacentral:rRNA from 1 species
GGCUAGAGUUUGAUCAUGGCUCAGGAUAAACGCUGGCGGCGCACAUAAGACAUGCAAGUCGAACGGACUUAACCAUUAGUUUACUAUUGGAGCGGUUAGUGGCGGACUGGUGAGUAACACGUAAGCAACCUGCCUGUUAGAGGGGAACAACAGUUAGAAAUGACUGCUAAUACCGCAUAUGCCAUAGUGAGGACAUCCUCACAGUGGGAAAGGAGCAAUCCGCUAACAGAUGGGCUUGCGUCUGAUUAGCUAGUUGGUGGGGUAACGGCCUACCAAGGCAACGAUCAGUAGCCGGACUGAGAGGUUGAACGGCCACAUUGGGACUGAGAUACGGCCCAGACUCCUACGGGAGGCAGCAGUCGGGAAUAUUGCGCAAUGGAGGAAACUCUGACGCAGUGACGCCGCGUGCAGGAAGAAGGUUUUCGGAUUGUAAACUGCUUUAGACAGGGAAGAAACAAGACAGUACCUGUAGAAUAAGCUCCGGCUAACUACGUGCCAGCAGCCGCGGUAAUACGUAGGGAGCAAGCGUUAUCCGGAUUUAUUGGGUGUAAAGGGUGCGUAGACGGGAAGUCAAGUUAGUUGUGAAAUCCCUCGGCUCAACUGAGGAACUGCAACUAAAACUAACUUUCUUGAGUGCUGGAGAGGAAAGUG